rnacentral:misc_RNA from 1 species
AGGUGCAAUCACCUAAUUCAGUGCAACUAUGCAACUCUCAUCCUACACCGUUGGAUCGAGAAAUUGACGUCCGAGAUUCGUCCAGGUCAUCAUAACUCCCAGUAAAUUUUAACUCAUGAGUGAAUCUGCGAGUUAAAUUUUAACUUAUGGUGACGUGAACGAAUCUUGGAUGUCCAUUUCUCGAUCCAACGAUGUAGGAUGAGAGUUGCAUAGUUGCAUUGAAUUAGGUGAUUACACCAG